rnacentral:rRNA from 1 species
UACGUAGGGUGCGAGCGUUAAUCGGAGUUACUGGGCGUAAAGCGUGCGUAGGUGGCUUGGUAAGUUGAAGGUGAAAUCUCGGGGCUUAACUCCGAAACUGCCUUCAAUACUGCUGAGCUCGAGGAUUGUAGAGGAGAAUGGAAUUCACGGUGUAGCAGUGAAAUGCGUAGAUAUCGUGAGGAAGACCAGUGGCGAAGGCGAUUCUCUGGGCAAUUCCUGACACUGAGGCACGAAGGCUAGGGGAGCAAACGGG